AGAGUUUGAUCCUGGCUCAGAGCGAACGCUGGCGGCAGGCCUAAUACAUGCAAGUCGAACGCACCUUCGGGUGAGUGGCGGACGGGUGAGUAACACGUGGGAACGUGCCCUUUGGUUCGGAAUAAGCCGGGGAAACCUGGUCUAAUACCGGAUGUGCCCUUCGGGGGAAAGAUUUAUCGCCAUUGGAGCGGCCCGCGUCUGAUUAGCUAGUUGGUGGGGUAAUGGCCCACCAAGGCUACGAUCAGUAGCUGGUCUGAGAGGAUGAUCAGCCACACUGGGACUGAGACACGGCCCAGACUCCUACGGGAGGCAGCAGUAGGGAAUCUUGCGCAAUGGGGGAAACCCUGACGCAGCCAUGCCGCGUGAAUGAUGAAGGUCUUAGGAUUGUAAAAUUCUUUCAGCGGGGAAGAUAAUGACUGUACCCGCAGAAGAAGCUCCGGCUAACUUCGUGCCAGCAGCCGCGGUAAUACGAAGGGGGCUAGCGUUGCUCGGAAUUACUGGGCGUAAAGGGCGCGUAGGCGGGCGUUUAAGUCAGAGGUUAAAUCCCAGGGCUCAACCCUGGAACUGCCUUUGAUACUGGGCGCCUAGAGUACGGGAGAGGUGUGUGGAACUCCGAGUGUAGAGGUGAAAUUCGUAGAUAUUCGGAAGAACACCAGUGGCGAAGGCAACACACUGGCCCGUUACUGACGCUGAGGCGCGAAAGCGUGGGGAGCAAACAGGAUUAGAUACCCUCGUAGUCC
rnacentral:rRNA from 1 species